UAAAAAAAGGGGCAUCUUCGACCAAAAAAUUUCGACCACAAUUUUGGUCGGAAAAAAAUUGAUCACAGGUAGUCGAAAUUUGCAGAAUUUAAUUUUUAUUAAACUUUUUAUAGGAUUUCUACCACACUGGGUCAAUUUUUUAACUGGAAAAGUGAAUUUCGACCACGUGUGGUCGAAAUUAAUUUUUGUACAAAUAAUAAAUGGGAAAAAAUAUUUUAUACAUAAUUAAAUUAUAUAAAUAUAAAACAAUUAAUUAAAAAUAAAAAUAAAAAACUAAUUUCAACUACAUGUGGUCGAAAAUUUGAACAGAUUUUUUUUAAUCCCCGUUAGGUCUCUUUUCGCUUUAUUUUUGCUCCUUCUCUUUCUCUCUCUUUCCUCUCUCCCUCUCCUCUCUCUACGCCUCCCCCCACCCGACUGCCUCACCACCCGUCGACGCUUAACUCGCAGCCACCUCCUUUCCCGACCAGCAGCGUCUCCACCGCCGUUUUCGUGGCUGUUGAGAUGUCAUGUAACCUUCUAUCCAAGUGAUAAAGGUUUUGUGAAGUCUUCUAAGAUGUUAAUGGGUUAAAGGAUUGGGGUUGGUCUGGAUGCCACCUUUAUACCCGUCGGCCCUUGAAAGCAUAGAUGCUGCUGAUGAUGGCGUAGUUGAUCCUAAGGAGUAUGAAGCUAUGAAGCAUCAAGUUGCUCAGCUAACAAGAACACUUAAUUCCUCGGAGGCUAGGAUGUUGGGUAUGCAAGCCCAAAUUAAUAGUUUAUGAUGGAUAUGUUUAAAUGGAUAUGUAUAUUAUCUUUAAGGGUUUGAAUGUAGUUUUAGUUCGAAUUAGAAGUACUUUUAAGUUUAUAAUGUUUAAGUGCUUGAAUGAUGUUUAUGAUGUUUAAGUGUUUGAAUGUAGUUUAUGAUGUUUAAGUGUUUGAAUGUAGUUUUAAUUUUAAGUACUUUGAGGUUGAAUUUGAUUGUUUAUAAGUGUUUGAAUGGACAAUGUUUAAGUGUUCAAGUGUUUGAACAUUGUU